rnacentral:rRNA from 1 species
CCUUCGGGCGCUGACGAGUGGCCGGACGGGUGAGUAACGCGUAGGAAUCUGCCUCAUAGUGGGGGACAACGUGGGGAAACUCACGCUAAUACCGCAUACGCCCUACGGGGGAAAGGAGGGGAUCUUCGGACCUUUCGCUAUGAGAUGAGCCUGCGUUAGAUUAGCUAGUUGGUAGGGUAAAGGCCUACCAAGGCGACGAUCUAUAGCUGGUCUGAGAGGACGAUCAGCCACACUGGGACUGAGACACGGCCCAGACUCCUACGGGAGGCAGCAGUGGGGAAUAUUGGACAAUGGGCGAAAGCCUGAUCCAGCAAUACCGCGUGUGUGAAGAAGGCCUUAGGGUUGUAAAGCACUUUCAAUUGGGAGGAAAACCUAUCGACCAAUACCCGAUAGCUUGACAUUACCUUUAGAAGAAGCACCGGCUAACUCCGUGCCAGCAGCCGCGGUAAUACGGAGGGUGCGAGCGUUAAUCGGAAUUACUGGGCGUAAAGCGUGCGUAGGCGGUUCGUUAAGUCAGAUGUGAAAGCCCUGGGCUCAACCUGGGAACUGCAUUUGAAACUGGCGGACUAGAGUUUAGUAGAGGGGAGUGGAAUUUCAGGUGUAGCGGUGAAAUGCGUAGAUAUCUGAAGGAACACCAGUGGCGAAGGCGACUCCCUGGACUAGAACUGACGCUGAGGUACGAAAGCGUGGGUAGCAAACAGGAUUAGAUACCCUGGUAGUCCACGCCGUAAACGAUGUCGACUAGCCGUUGGCCCUAUUUACAGGGUUAGUGGCGCAGCUAACGCAUUAAGUCGACCGCCUGGGGAGUACGGCCGCAAGGUUAAAACUCAAAUGAAUUGACGGGGGCCCGCACAAGCGGUGGAGCAUGUGGUUUAAUUCGAUGCAACGCGAAGAACCUUACCUACCCUUGACAUCCAGAGAAUC